UUUGAAAUCUGGCUUCGGCCCGAGUUGUAAUUUGCAGAGGAUGCUUCUGGCGCGGUGCCUUCCGAGUUCCCUGGAACGGGACGCCACAGAGGGUGAGAGCCCCGUAUGGUCGGACACCAAGCCUGUGUGAAGCUCCUUCGACGAGUCGAGUAGUUUGGGAAUGCUGCUCUAAAUGGGAGGUAAAUCUCUUCUAAAGCUAAAUACCGGCCAGAGACCGAUAGCGCACAAGUAGAGUGAUCGAAAGAUGAAAAGCACCUUGAAAAGGGGGUUAAAUAGUACGUGAAAUUGUUGAAAGGGAAGCACUUAUGACCAGACUUGGGCCGGGCGGCUCAUCAGGGGUUCUCCCCUGUGCAUUCCGCCCGGCACAGGCCAGCAUCGGUUCUCGUGGGGGGAUAAGACCAUCAGGAACGUAGCACCCUCCGGGGUGUGUUAUAGCCUGGCGGACGAUACCCUCGUGGGGACCGAG
rnacentral:rRNA from 1 species